rnacentral:rRNA from 1 species
UAAGGUCACGGCAAGACAAGCCGUUUAUCAUCACGAUAGGUGCCAAGUGGAAGUGCAGUAAUGUAUGUAGCUGAGGCAUCCUAACAGACCGAGAGAUUUGAAC